GGGAUACACUUGAUCUCUGAAUUUUAACAGGUAAGUUCUUGUUGAUAACUAUUCAUCUGCUGAUGCU
rfam:Brassica napus, WGS project CCCW01000000 data, contig: 15320